AUGACUGUGGGCAAGAGUAGCAAGAUGCUGCAGCACAUUGACUAUAGAAUGAGAUGCAUCCUACAAGAUGGCCAGAUCUUCAUCUUUAAGGCUUUUGACAAGCAUAUGAAUUUGAUCCUCUGUGAUUGUGAUGAGUUCAGAAAGAUCAAGCCAAAGAAUGCAAAGCAACCAGAGCUUAAAGAAAAGCGGGUUUGGGGUCUGGUGUUGCUACCUGAGGAGAACUUGGUAUCCAUGACUGUGGAGGGGCCACCCCCCCAAAGAUACUGGCAUUGCUUGGGUACCACUUGCUGGAGCUGCAGGAGGCCCUGGGGUUGGUAGGGCAGCUGGUAGAGGAGUACCAGCUGGUGUGCCAAGUCCCUAGGGCCCUGCUGGAUUAACAGACCCUGUCCGAGGAGUUGGGGGCCCAUCCCAGCAGGUAGUGACUCCACAGGGAAGAGGCACUGUAGCAGCUGCUGCUGUUGCUGCGACUGCCAGCAUUGCUGGAGCCCCAACACAGUACCCACCAGGACGGGGGACUCCGCCCCACCUGGGAGAGCAACCCCACCUCCAGGCAUUAUGGCUCUCCCAUCUGGUAUGAGACCACCCAUGGGCCCACCAAUUGGGCUUCCCCCUGCUCAAGGGACGCCAAUAGGUAUGCCCCCUCUGGGAAUGAGACCCCCUCCACCAGGCAUUAGAGGUCCACGUCCUCCAGGAAUGCGUCCACCAAGACCCUAG